rnacentral:rRNA from 1 species
UACGGGGGGAGCAAGCGUUGUUCGGAUUUACUGGGCGUAAAGGGCGCGUAGGCGGUCGUGACAAGUCACUUGUGAAAUCUCCGGGCUUAACUCGGAAAGGUCAACUGAUACUGUGCGACUAGAGUGCAGAAGGGGCAACGUGGAAUUCUCGGUGUAGCGGUGAAAUGCGUAGAUAUCGAGAGGAACACCUGCGGCGAAGGCGGGUUGCUGGGCUGACACUGACGCUGAGGCGCGAAAGCCAGGGGAGCGAACGGG